rnacentral:rRNA from 1 species
UACGUAGGGUGCGAGCGUUAAUCGGAAUUACUGGGCGUAAAGUGUGCGCAGGUGGCCGCGCAAGUCGAGUGUGAAAUCCCCGAGCUUAACUUGGGAAUUGCGCUCGAAACUACGUGGCUCGAGUGUGGCAGAGGAAGGUGGAAUUCCACGUGUAGCGGUGAAAUGCGUAGAGAUGUGGAGGAACACCAAUGGCGAAGGCAGCCUCCUGGGCCAACACUGACACUCAUGCACGAAAGCGUGGGGAGCAAACAGG